rnacentral:rRNA from 1 species
AUUGAACGCUGGCGGCAUGCUUUACACAUGCAAGUCGAACGGCAGCACGGGUGCUUGCACCUGGUGGCGAGUGGCGGACGGGUGAGUAAUACAUCGGAACCGUGUCCAGAAGAGGGGGAUAACGCAUCGAAAGAUGUGCUAAUACCGCAUAUGCUCUGAGGAGGAAAGUAGGGGAUCGAAAGACCUUACGCUUUUGGAGCGGCCGAUGUCUGAUUAGCUAGUUGGUGGGGUAAGGGCCUACCAAGGCGACGGAGUCAGUAGUUGGUCUCGAGAGGACGACCAGCCACACUGGGACUGAGACACGGCCCAGACUCC